UACGGAGGGGGUUAGCGUUGUUCGGAAUUACUGGGCGUAAAGCGUACGUAGGCGGAUUAGUAAGUUGGGGGUGACAUCCCGGGGCUCAACCCCGGCACUGCCUCCAAAGCUACUAGUCUUGAGAUCGUGAGAGGUGAGUGGAAUUCCGAGUGUAGAGGUGAAAUUCGUAGAUAUUCGGAAGAACACCAGUGGCGAAGGCGCCUUACUGGCUCGAUUCUGACGCUGAGGUGCGAAAGUGUGGGGAGCAAACAGG
rnacentral:rRNA from 1 species